UGAACUUGCAUAAGAUAGAUCUUCUGCUCGUACAUUGAAUUGAGACAAAAAGUUGCUGGCCUCUUGUGUUGUAUCCUGUGAUGUAGCAACAGCAGUGAGACUGCAAAGAAGCCAUAGAUGGACCAACAUACUUCCUUCUGAGCCAAGAUCCACUAAUUGAGGCGAUUCACUCACAGCUCCUACAGGCAACCAAAUGUACUCUCUGUCUUCACCUUACAUAACUGCUAAGGAGACUCAUGCCAAGCUACUGGUAAUUAAUCUCACUGCUGAAGAUCCAAUUCAGGAAAAGGAAUCUCACAGCACAUAGAGAGGACACAAUCGCUGCCCAGAAGAGCUUACAGUCUAAAUUGAUGGGACAUACAACAGAUGUGGGAAGCGGGCAGAGAUUGUCUGCGCAGAUUAUUUCCGGACCCUGGAACCACAGAGGAGCCAGGCUUUGAGUGGUGCAUCUAUUGAUUGGGAUGGAAAAUGUGUCCUAUGAGAGGAGCCAUGGUGUUAGGUGGAGAGAGAUUGGUCGGCAUACCAUCAUGCAUAGAAGGUGGGUGAAAUUGCCACAAAUUUGAAGAAAAAAAUUAUGAAAACAGGGUUUGUAUCAAAAAGAAGUAAGAAGUGAAUCUUCAUGGACCAAAAGUCUCAUAAGCUGGAAAAACGAACAAUCUUGAAAAAGCUUUACAGGUCACUUUUAAUGAUUUGUUUACUUCACCUCAUUUUCU